rnacentral:rRNA from 1 species
AGAAUCAACGCUGGCGGCGUGCCUAACACAUGCAAGUCGAACGAGAAAGUGGAGCAAUCCAUGAGUAAAGUGGCGCACGGGUGAGUAACACGUGACUAACCUACCCAUAAGUGGGGGAUAACCUCGGGAAACCGGGCUAAUACCGCAUAAUACCGAGAGGUCAAAGGAGCAAUUCGCUUUUGGAGGGGGUCGCGGCUGAUUAGUUAGUUGGUAGGGUAAUGGCCUACCAAGACGAUGAUCAGUA